rnacentral:rRNA from 1 species
AACGAACGCUGGCGGCAGGCUUAACACAUGCAAGUCGAACGCCCCGCAAGGGGAGUGGCAGACGGGUGAGUAACGCGUGGGAACAUACCCUUUUCUACGGAAUAGCUCUGGGAAACUGGAAUUAAUACCGUAUACGCUCUACGGGGGAAAGAUUUAUCGGGGAAGGAUUGGCCCGCGUUGGAUUAGCUAGUUGGUGGGGUAAAGGCCUACCAAGGCGACGAUCCAUAGCCGGUCUGAGAGGAUGAUCAGCCACAUUGGGACUGAGACACGGCCCAAACUCCUACGGGAGGCAGCAGUGGGGAAUAUUGGACAAUGGGCGCAAGCCUGAUCCAGCCAUGCCGCGUGAGUGAUGAAGGCCUUAGGGUUGUAAAGCUCUUUCACCGAUGAAGAUAAUGACGGUAGUCGGAGAAGAAGCCCCGGCUAACUUCGUGCCAGCCGCCGCAGUAACAC